rnacentral:rRNA from 1 species
AUUCAGAAUAGUCUGAAAAUAUAAGUAUUGCUUAUGAUUAUAGGAAAAAUAAUUUUAAGAUUUGUAAAUUAAGUAAUUAGUAAUGAAAAGUUGAGUUGGCGAUAGUAAAAUAGUACUGAAAAGGAAAUAUGAAAUAUAUUGAAAAUUUAAUUUUAAAAAAGCAGAUAUUAAUAAUCGUACCUUGUGUAUCAGGGGGUUAUUAAUAAAUUUUAUUUAUUUAAAAUUCCCAAAAAAGAAAGAUCUAAUAGCUUAUAAGUAUUUAUGUGACAUUAUGAUUUUUAAUAAGUUAUUAGUAGUGAAAUAUUAAUCGGUUUCUUUGAUAUUUGGUUUCCUAAGAAAUAAAUUUAAUUUACUUUUAUUUUUUUAUUUAUAUCUUAUUUUAUAGUAAAAAUAAUAUAAAAGUUAGGGCCUGAGGGAUUAGCUUUGGGUCCUAUUAAGAAUUGUGUGUAAUUUAAAAAAAAUGAGUUAUGUUUUUAUGCUUAGAAAUAGCAAUAAGUAAAAAUAAUGUUACAAUUUACAUUUUUUAUUAAAUUAUUUUUGUAAAGUUCACAUUUUAUAUUAGGAUAAAUACUAAAUUUUAAUAAGAAUUUAAAUAAUAUAAUCAUGAGUAGAAUAAUAUUACAAAGAAUUUAUUUUGUAAAUUGCGAUUAAGGAACUCGGCAAACAUAUUUUUCGCCUGUUUAUCAAAAACAUCUCCUUAUGAUAUAAUAUAAGGUAUAGCCUGCUAAGGAACUCGGCAAACAUAUUUUUCGCCUGUUUAUCAAAAACAUCUCCUUAUGAUAUAAUAUAAGGUAUAGCCUGCUCUAUGAAUUGUUUUAAAUGGCCGCGGUAUUUUGACCGUGCGAAGGUAGCAUAAUCAUUAGUCUUUUAAUUGAAGGCUGGUAUGAAUGGCUGGACGAGAAAGUUUCUGUCUCUAUCGUAAAGUUUGAAUUUUAUUUUUAAGUGAAAAAGCUUAAAUAAUUUUGAGGGACGAUAAGACCCUAUGGAUCUUUAUAUAAAUUUAUAAUAAAAAGUUUGGUGAGUUACGGCUUAUUAUAAAUAAAUAUUGUGUUGGGGCGACUGAAAGAAAUAAAUAUCUCUUUUUAAUAAUAAAUAUAAUUAUAUAGAAACAUAAUGACCCUUAAUUUUGGUUUAUAAGACUAAGUUACCCUAGGGAUAACAGCGUAAUUUUUUCAGAGAGUUCUUAUCGAUGAGAAGGUUUGCGACCUCGAUGUUGGAUUAAGAUAUCCUUAUGGCGCAGCUGUUAUAAAGGAAAGUCUGUUCGACUUUUAAAUUCUUACAUGAUCUGAGUUCAAACCGGCGUGAGCCAGGUUGGUUUCUAUCUUCAAAAUUUUUAUUUCAUUUUAGUACGAAAGGAUUAAAUGAAAGGGGAAAUACCCUAUAGCAAGAACAAUAUUAAUGAUGUUUACUAAUUUGGCAGAGAAGUGUGU